rnacentral:rRNA from 1 species
UGCAGUCGAGCGGAAACGAUGGAGCUUGCUCCAGGCGUCGAGCGGCGGACGGGUGAGUAAUGCAUAGGAAUCUGCCCGGUAGUGGGGGAUAACCUGGGGAAACUCAGGCUAAUACCGCAUACGCCCUACGGGGGAAAGCAGGGGCUCUUCGGACCUUGCGCUAUCGGAUGAGCCUAUGUCGGAUUAGCUAGUUGGUGAGGUAAUGGCUCACCAAGGCGACGAUCCGUAGCUGGUCUGAGAGGAUGAUCAGCCACAUCGGGACUGAGACACGGCCCGAACUCCUACGGGAGGCAGCAGUGGGGAAUAUUGGACAAUGGGCGAAAGCCUGAUCCAGCCAUGCCGCGUGUGUGAAGAAGGCUUUCGGGUUGUAAAGCACUUUCAGUGAGGAAGAACGCCUUGGGGCUAAUACCCCCGAGGGAAGACAUCACUCACAGAAGAAGCACCGGCUAACUCCGUGCCAGCAGCCGCGGUAAUACGGAGGGUGCAAGCGUUAAUCGGAAUUACUGGGCGUAAAGCGCGCGUAGGCGGCGUGAUAAGCCGGUUGUGAAAGCCCCGGGCUCAACCUGGGAACGGCAUCCGGAACUGUCAGGCUAGAGUGCAGGAGAGGAAGGUAGAAUUCCCGGUGUAGCGGUGAAAUGCGUAGAGAUCGGGAGGAAUACCAGUGGCGAAGGCGGCCUUCUGGACUGACACUGACGCUGAGGUGCGAAAGCGUGGGUAGCAAACAGGAUUAGAUACCCUGGUAGUCCACGCCGUAAACGAUGUCGACUAGCCGUUGGGGUCCUAGAGACCUUUGUGGCGCAGUUAACGCGAUAAGUCGACCGCCUGGGGAGUACGGCCGCAAGGUUAAAACUCAAAUGAAUUGACGGGGGCCCGCACAAGCGGUGGAGCAUGUGGUUUAAUUCGAUGCAACGCGAAGAACCUUACCUACCCUUGACAUCGUGCGAACUUGGUAGAGAUACCUUGGUGCCUUCGGGAACGCACAGACAGGUGCUGCAUGGCUGUCGUCAGCUCGUGUUGUGAAAUGUUGGGUUAAGUCCCGUAAC